CGCGCUUGGUGACGGCGGCCAGCCGGGCCUCGGCGUCGGCCUUGGCCUUGGCCAUCUGUUCCAACUCGCGCUUGAGGCGCGUGAGUUCGUCCUCGGCUCCGGCGCUCGACGACGAUGUGGCCUCUGUGCGCGCGCCGGCGGCGGCGGCGGGCGGGGUGCGCCUCACAAUGGUCGUGGUCACGGUCGGCGACGAGGCGGGCUUUUUCGCGGCGGCGAGUUGCUCGAUUGUGCGAGGCUGGCCUGCGCUCGCCGCCUUUGAGACCUUGCUGCCAUCAGGCGAGGCGGAAGGCGACCGUUUCUUAUCCUCUGACGCUGCCACAAGCUUGUGGUCGCCGCUGUCACCGUCACCAUAACCGUCGGUGUCGUGUUUGCACUCGUGGCCUCUGUCUUGGCUGCCGCUGUCGUCAUCGACGUCGUCAGGUAUGGUGCGCUUGCGCUUGCGCGUGUCGGUCGGGCUGGCCGUGGGUUCGUCAAGGAGCCCCUUGACGGGCUUGUCGGCGUCUUGCGGGGCGUCCUUGGGGGUGGCGAGUGCGAUGCUCAUGAUCGUGUCGUUUGUGGUGGUGCAACGGCAACUGACGGGCCUCUCUAGGUCGACUGUGUGUCUUUUUUUUUCCACGCGCGUGUCAAAGGCGUGGUGUCGUCGGGCACAGGCGAGACAAAUACCGAUCGGUAUACGGUCGCUGUUUGGCAGAAACGUCAGCAGGAGGAGGAGGAGGAGCGUGGCAAGGCAAAAAAAAGGAAGGAAGAAAGCGCAAAGGGACAAGGGCGGCGUGCCUGCGCGUGUUGUGCGGUCCAGAGACAAUGGGCUGGUGUUUGACGCUGGGGAAGCGAGGUGAAGGAAAAAG
rnacentral:lncRNA from 1 species